rnacentral:misc_RNA from 1 species
UGACUUCGUCCAACAUGCUCGUCCUCUCCCCUCGCCUUUGUGCGGGCGCGGAGCGGCAAUGUCGGCGGUCCUCGUGCUCCCUCGGACGACGGCACGGCUUUGGCCCCUCGUCUCCUCCCGAUCGGCCCUCGGGGAUUCGCCAGCGCUCGCGGACACGGUAGACAAUGUUGGCUCGGGGCUUUCGUAGCCCCCGCACCACGAUCGGUCGGCUCACUUCGCCGCCCUCGACGAGACGACCGUCGCGCCCGUCGUCCCCCCACCACUCGCUUAACGGCGUCGGACGGGCACAGCGGGCGCGACGUCGCGGAGGACGUGCU